UACGUAGGGGGCAAGCGUUGUCCGGAAUUAUUGGGCGUAAAGGGCUCGCAGGCGGUCUUCUAAGUCUGAUGUGAAAUCUCGUGGCUUAACCACGAGCGGUCAUUGGAAACUGGAGGACUUGAGUACAGAAGAGGAGAGUGGAAUUCCACGUGUAGCGGUGAAAUUCGUAGAUAUUGGGAAGAACACCGAUGGCGAAGGCAGCCAUCUGGACCGACACUGACGCUGAGGCGCGAAAGCGUGGGGAGCAAACAGG
rnacentral:rRNA from 1 species